GACACCCCCUUCCCCCAGGCCCGUUCCCGCUACCUCCCUCAUUCCUCAAUGCUAAUUGGAGGGGAUGAUAAUGUAACCGCCGUCGCUGAUUGGCUGCUGAUCCCAUCCAUCAGAUAGCGCUGGAGAGCAAUUCGCCCCUUCGAUUGGUCAACGAUGGGGAGGAGGCGGUCCAGAGCGCGAGUAAGAAGGAGCUCUCCCAUUGGCUGCCAACGAUGUGUCAAUCAAGUGGCGUGUUGAGCGUGUCCGUGCGGUUUGGUGGCGGCUCAGGAGGCAGGGCCCGGGGAUGAAGAAGGGGGUGGGGAGCGGUUGUUGCUUAUAAAACGGGGGCACUUCCUGUCCAACGUGACAGCUUCCGCCGAACCCUGAACGGGCGGGGGCGACACAGGCAGGGCGCUUGUCGCGUGGUCUCCUUGGCCGCCGCUGGCCGGCGGGUCCCUAGGCCGGACCUCGGGAGUCCACGUCAUCCCCGCUCUCAGCAGCGGCCCCUCCCCUGGCUCCGCCCAGGGCAGGCUCCGCCGGGGCCACGUGGGCGCGCAGAGGCCCCCGGCCCCCCUUGGGAGAGGUCAGCGCUGCGGCGGCCGCGCCCCGGGGGUCCGGAGUGGCUCGCUCUGCCGCGGCUGGGUGCGGCGCCUGCUGGCUCGCCGGGCUGCCCUGCGGCGUACCUCCGGUGGGCGAGACACGGCUUGAUCAUUGAUGAAAAUGUUGACUAGUGAUGGGCCUCGUACUGAUCCCUGUGGAACUCCACUAGAACCACCCCCCUUCGAGGAUGAUUCUCCAUUUGCAACUACUUUUUGAGACAAUUUUGGGGGUUCUGUCUGUACCAGUUCUGAACUGUGGAUGAUUUUAUGAAAUUGUUUUAUGAAGUUACCUUGUCAUGGAAUGUUUAUAUGGAUGUGGAUCCCCCGUGAGUUAACAGGAUUGUGUCAUGUCUCUGCCAGACCAGAGACAAUGGUGAGUGAUCAGAACUCAACAAUGGUCUAUUCAAAAUAAAAUACCUUAGGACAAUGAGUUUGGUUUAGCUGGGAGAAGACACUUCCUCCUCUUGUCUGAAGGUUUGAGAGUAAUGGGAAGUGACCAGAAGCAGAACAAAAGAAGCAAGGGAUCCCAGCAGGAGUCUAUAAAGGAUUCACAGGGAGAGACAUGUUUUGCACCAGAUUAAAAUGAGGGAGGCUGCUGCAACGGUAGGGUAGACAAGGGGAUGGAGGUUCCCUCCCUGCCUACCUGCCUGAUGGAACACUGAUGAACCCCCAAGAACUCCGAAGGGACAGCUGCAAAAGUGGUCUUGAGGGUCUCUCCAUCCACACCAGCAGAGCGGCUCAGCCAGAAAAAGAGAAAGAAGAGGAUAAGGGAAGACAUGUUUCAGGAGAUCCUGUGUGCCUCAGUGCUUUGGAUACUGAGCAGAGGGCUUGGAGGAUGAUGCUCGAGGACACAAGGGACAGGGAUAGUGAAGACAGGAGAAACAGGCAGCAAGAGAUGAUAAUGCUUCUCAGGGAGCAAACAGACAUGCUGCAGUUUCUGACUGAUCUUCAAGCUCAACAGAUCUGUGCUUGCCUCUCCCUGCAGCCUACGGAGAAUUGCAUUCCAGGACUUCCUUACACACCCCUUCCUUUACUACAUUGCAUCCAGGGCCAGUGCAAUACCCACUCCACCCUGGGAGAAGAGUACAGACAAUUACACCUGCACAUACACUGACCUGUGAGAGACACAGUUGAUAUAUGUGUGUUUGUGAAAUGGAAAUGACUGUUAUUUCCCCUUCAGAGGUUCUUUUCCCUGUAUUUAUAAAGUUUCAUUCAGUUAUAAAUACGUCUGUUGGAAUAAAAGUCUAUUUAUGGAAACUUAAUUCAUCUUUAUUAGUUCACAACAUAUGCUGGCUGGGGCUGACUUCAUUCACAGAUAAUACCAAUAGAGGCCGUUGCAAUGUUAUAUUACUACACACACAGCACUCAUUACAAAGCUCAUAUCAUGGUGAAAAAAAAAAAACGAUGCCAGACACAGCACAGUACGGCAACACACAUUACUGUGUCUCAUUGUUAAAUGGCCUU